UACGUAGGUCCCGAGCGUUGUCCGGAUUUAUUGGGCGUAAAGCGAGCGCAGGCGGUUUGAUAAGUCUGAAGUUAAAGGCUGUGGCUCAACCAUAGUUCGCUUUGGAAACUGUCAAACUUGAGUGCAGAAGGGGAGAGUGGAAUUCCAUGUGUAGCGGUGAAAUGCGUAGAUAUAUGGAGGAACACCGGUGGCGAAAGCGGCUCUCUGGUCUGUAACUGACGCUGAGGCUCGAAAGCGUGGGGAGCGAACAGGAUUAGAUAC
rnacentral:rRNA from 1 species